AGCAGCCGCGGUAAUUCCAGCUCCAAUAGCGUAUAUUAAAGUUGUUGCAGUUAAAAAGCUCGUAGUUGAAUUUCGGGAUCAGUACGCUGGUCGUGCCUUUGGUAUGUACUGGUGUCACUGAUUCCUCCCUUCUGAAGAACCGUUAUGCCAUUUAUUUGGUGUGGCGGGGAAUCAGGACUGUUACUUUGAAAAAAUUAGAGUGUUUAAAGCAGGCUCGCGCUUGAAUACAUUAGCAUGGAAUAAUGAAAUAGGACGUUUGAUCUUAUUUUGUUGGUUUCUAGGAUCGACGUAAUGAUUAAUAGGGAUAGUUGGGGGCAUUAGUAUUCAAUUGUCAGAGGUGAAAUUCUUGGAUUUAUUGAAGACUAACUACUGCGAAAGCAUUUGCCAAGGAUGUUUUCAUUAAUCAAGAACGAAAGUUAGGGGAUCGAAGACGAUCAGAUACCGUCGUAGUCUUAACCAUAAACUAUGCCGACUAGGGAUCGGAUGAUGUUAUUUUUAAUGACUCAUUCGG
rnacentral:rRNA from 1 species